rnacentral:lncRNA from 12 species
CACUUUCUUGCUCUCUCAAAUAAUUAAAUAAAAAUCUUAGGGAAAGAAAAAAGCAGAAGCUUCCAGAGAACUUAAGUGUUAGAAUGGAACACAGGAUCUCUAGUAUAAUUUCUACUUAAAUCAGGGCAUUACUAAGACAUUAGCUUCCGGCUAAAAACGUGCAGUUACAAGGUGCCCAAUAUCUUCUCUUCCCAAACUUCUUUUUUUUUCCCCCAAACUUCUAUUUAGCUAGUGACUCUGACCAUCUUAAGCUAGACCAACACCUUGUUUUUCUGAUUGAAAUUUAGCAUGCUUCAGCUCUUUUUUAAAUUAAUCUUAUUUGUUCAUAUAUUUAUACUUUCAGUAGUAACUUACCAGAGGGUUUGUUUUUUUUAAUGCACCACUCUUCUAGAUGCUAGAAGAGAAAAUAAUAAAGGCAUGGAUUUUGUUUUAAAAAAAUCAGAUGCUUUUGGGAUACCUACCACAGAUGAGGAGACCAGGGAAUGACAGCAAACCUUUGGUUCAGAUGUGAAGAAAAAACAGAAUUUAGCCAUUUGGAAAAGAGGAGAAAAAACACUAGAAGCAGAUGAAGUACCUGAGGCAUAGAAAAGCUAAGUCAGUUUUCCAAAAUCACAAGGCUAGUAACUGGGAGAAUUGAAAUUCGAGUUGGCAUUUUCACUCCACAGUUGAUGCUCUUAAAUUAGGGUAAUGAAAGCGUAGCAUCAUAUUCAGGGAGUCGUAAGUAAUUAUUUAAGGCUGGAGUGUGGGAUGUGUUAAGUGGAAGGGUUGAGAUGGUGGUAAAAUGAGUCAGAAGAGUUAGGCAGGGGCCAGAUUGUGAUGAGUUUGGGAGGUGCUGCCAAUAUGUUUGGAUUGUAUUCUCGUUUGCUGUUUCUUCUAACACGGAAAGAGCCAUUUGAGUUUGUCCUCGUGUUACUGAUUUGGCUUUCUCUAAGGUCAUGAGAUGUUCUUCACAAAUCCUUAGAGACCAUAUUCUUCAGCUCCUGACCCAAUCUUGGUAAAUAUAUUCUAAAGUGCUUUAUUGAUGUCUAUUAUUCUUUAUACUUUUACUUAGUUGGGAGAAAGGGUAAGGUUCAUUUAAUGUUUCUAAUAAUCUAUGUAAGUUCCAAACAU